GAAUGAUGUGAUGAUUUGUGAUUAAUUUCCCUAUUGGUUUGAUCGCCGUUAUGAUGGCAACAGUAUUAGCUCUAUCUGAUCAUUC